UACGUAGGGUGCAAGCGUUACUCGGAUUUAUUGGGCGUAAAGCGCAUGUAGGCGGCUUUGCAAGUCUGAUGUGAAAUCCCUGGACUCAAUUCAGGAACUGCAUUGGAUACUGCAAGGCUAGAGUAGAGGAGAGGUAGGCGGAAUUCCUGGUGUAGAGGUGAAAUUCGUAGAUAUCAGGAGGAACAACAGAAGCGAAGGCGGCUUACUGGACUCUAACUGACGCUGAGAUGCGACAGUGUGGGGAGCAAACAGG
rnacentral:rRNA from 1 species